rnacentral:rRNA from 1 species
GACGAACGCUGGCGGCGUGCCUAAUACAUGCAAGUAGAACGCUGAAGGAGGAGCUUGCUUCUCUGGAUGAGUUGCGAACGGGUGAGUAACGCGUAGGUAACCUGCCUGGUAGCGGGGGAUAACUAUUGGAAACGAUAGCUAAUACCGCAUAAUAGUAGAUGUUGCAUGACAUUUGCUUAAAAGGUGCAAUUGCAUCACUACCAGAUGGACCUGCGUUGUAUUAGCUAGUUGGUGAGGUAACGGCUCACCAAGGCGACGAUACAUAGCCGACCUGAGAGGGUGAUCGGCCACACUGGGACUGAGACACGGCCCAGACUCCUACGGGAGGCAGCAGUAGGGAAUCUUCGGCAAUGGACGGAAGUCUGACCGAGCAACGCCGCGUGAGUGAAGAAGGUUUUCGGAUCGUAAAGCUCUGUUGUAAGAGAAGAACGAGUGUGAGAGUGGAAAGUUCACACUGUGACGGUAUCUUACCAGAAAGGGACGGCUAGCUACGUG